CCGUGGUGUAGGGGUUAACAUGCCUGCCUGUCACGCAGGAGAUCGCGGGUUCGAUUCCCGUCGGAA
rnacentral:tRNA from 1 species